rnacentral:rRNA from 1 species
UGGGGAAUAUUGCACAAUGGGGGAAACCCUGAUGCAGCGACGCCGCGUGGAGGAAGAAGGUCUUCGGAUUGUAAACUCCUGUUGUUGGGGAAGAUAAUGACGGUACCCAACAAGGAAGUGACGGCUAACUACGUGCCAGCAGCCGCGGUAAAACGUAGGUCACAAGCGUUGUCCGGAAUUACUGGGUGUAAAGGGAGCGCAGGCGGGAAGACAAGUUGGAAGUGAAAUCCAUGGGCUCAACCCAUGAACUGCUUUCAAAACUGUUUUUCUUGAGUAGUGCAGAGGUAGGCGGAAUUCCCGGUGUAGCGGUGGAAUGCGUAGAUAUCGGGAGGAACACCAGUGGCGAAGGCGGCCUACUGGGCACCAACUGACGCUGAGGCUCGAAAGUGUGGGUAGCAAACAGGAUUAGAUACCCUGGUAGUCCACACCGUAAACGAUGAUUACUAGGUGUUGGAGGAUUGACCCCUUCAGUGCCGCAGUUAACACAAUAAGUAAUCCACCUGGGGAGUACGACCGCAAGGUUGAAACUCAAAGGAAUUGACGGGGGCCCGCACAAGCAGUGGAGUAUGUGGUUUAAUUCGACGCAACGCGAAGAACCUUACCAAGUCUUGACAUCCUGUGACAGACGUAGAAAUACGUUCUUCCUUCGGGACACAGAGACAGGUGGUGCAUGGUUGUCGUCAGCUCGUGUCGUGAGAUGUUGGGUUAAGUCCCGCAACGAGCGCAACCCUUAUGGUCAGUUACUACGCAAGAGGACUCUGGCCAGACUGCCGUUGACAAAACGGAGGAAGGUGGGGAUGACGUCAAAUCAUCAUGCCCUUUAUGACUUGGGCUACACACGUACUACAAUGGCGUUAAACAAAGAGAAGCAAGACCGCGAGGUGGAGCAAAACUCAGAAACAACGUCCCAGUUCGGACUGCAGGCUGCAACUCGCCUGCACGAAGUCGGAAUUGCUAGUAAUCGUGGAUCAGCAUGCCACGGUGAAUACGUUCCC